rnacentral:lncRNA from 1 species
GUUUUGGGGGGGGUGCUGAGUGCAGGGGGAUCCUAGGAGGCAGUGGUGUGCUGGGGCUCUACCUGUGUGUGCUUCUCUUCCCAGCAGCUUUCAUUGACAUCACGGUUGGCGCCUACGCCCUCGGUGAGGGUAUUUACAGAAUAGUACAGAGCUGAGCCUUAAUUUUUUUCUCCAAGAGCAGGCUAUUAACAUUUACCAUCACACCACGUCCAAAUCUCCUAAAUGGGUUUCUAAAGCCAGAAGAAAAGCACCACCACUUCUCCAUUGGUCUCUCCCUGGGGCUGAUCUGUGGCUGCUUUCUGUCCCUGUCGAGAUGCCCUAGGAGUCCCUCCUGAGCCAUCAUAGUUUGAGGCAUUUCCCCAACCCUGGCCCUGGAAUGCAGACUCUGGCUGCCUGGGCUGGAAUCCCACCACGUGUACCAGCCGUGUGCGUUUUGCAACUUGGUCUCUUCAAGCCAUAGUCUGAACGUUUAUAAAACUGGAACAUGGAUUCCUCACGGUGUUGGAGGGGGGAGUUAAGUGAGAAUCCGCGUAGAGCACGCGGCACACACCGAACAGCACAGAGUCGGGCGGGCGGGGGGACGUGAGCGCUGACCUCGGCGCCCCCGCCUCCCGCCCGGCAGGCUCCCGGCUUUCGCUAACCUGCAGGAGGCGCUGCUGGAGAACAUGAUCCAGAACAUCUUGGUGGAGGCGAGCCGCGGAGAGGUGGUGCUCACCUCGCGGCCGCGCGUCAUCGCCCUGCCACCGCUCAGCGUUCCCAGGAUGCUGACUCCCGACUUGCUGCCCGCGGCGCCCCCGGGGCCGCAGCAAGGGGAUACGAGCGGCACCACGGCACUGCCCCCUACCGACUAUUCGCAGACACCAGCACACAGUCCCCCCUCCGACCUGCACCUCUAGGUUCCUACCGGCGCUCUCUCCGUCACCCCGCCAGUAAAGGAUCCAGCCUUUUUUUCUAUAUCUGCCUUGACUUUAUUUCUCCGAUGCGACAAAAACGCGAGCGCGCGGCCUGAGAGGGACAGACGGUAGAAGCGG